GCCGCUGCAGCAGCGCGGUAUACGGGGGGUGCAAGCGUUAUCGGAAUCACUGGGCGUAAAGGGUGCGUAGGGCGGUGCAUUAGGUCUGUCGUGAAAUCCCCGGGCUCAACCUGGGAAUGGCGGUGGAAACCGGUGUACUAGAGUAUGGGAGAGGGUGGUGGAAUCCAGGUGUAGCGGUGAAAUGCGUAGAGAUCUGGAGGAACAUCAGUGGCGAAGGCGGCCACCUGGCCCAAUACUGACGCUGAGGCACGAAAGCGUGGGGAGCAAACAGGAUUAGAUACCCUGGUAGUCCCACGCCCUAAACGAUGAAUACUAGAUGUUUGGUGCCAAGCGUACUGAAGUGUCGUAGCUUAACGCGAUAAGUAUUCCGGCUGGGGAAAUACGGNCGGAAAGUUUAAACUCAAAGGGAAUUGACGGGGGCCGCACAAGCGGUGGAGCAUGUGGUUUAAUUCGAUGCAACGCGAAAAACCUUACCUGGGCUUGACAUGUCUGGAAUCCUGCAGAGAUGCGGGAGUGCCCUUCGGGGAAUCAGAACACAGGUUGCUGGCAUGGC
rnacentral:rRNA from 1 species